GACGAACGCUGGCGGCGUGCUUAACACAUGCAAGUCGAACGGAAAGGCCCCUUUGGGGGUACUCGAGUGGCGAACGGGUGAGUAACACGUGAGUAACCUGCCCUUGACUUCGGGAUAACUUCAGGAAACUGGGGCUAAUACCGGAUAGGAAUCCUUGCUGCAUGGUGGGGGUUGGAAAGCUUCGGCGGUUUUGGAUGGACUCGCGGCUUAUCAGCUUGUUGGUGGGGUAGUGGCUUACCAAGGCUUUGACCGGUAGCCGGCCUGAGAGGGCGACCGGCCACAUUGGGACUGAGAUACGGCCCAGACUCCUACGGGAGGCAGCAGUGGGGAAUAUUGCACAAUGGGCGGAAGCCUGAUGCAGCAACGCCGCGUGCGGGAUGACGGCCUUCGGGUUGUAAACCGCUUUCAGCAGGGGCGAAGCUUGUGGUGACGGUACCUGCAGAAGAAGCACCGGCUAACUACGUG
rnacentral:rRNA from 1 species